GUGGGGAAUUUUGGACAAUGGGCGCAAGCCUGAUCCAGCAAUGCCGCGUGCAGGAAGAAGGCCUUCGGGUUGUAAACUGCUUUUGUACGGAACGAAACGGUCCUGGCUAAUAUCCGGGGCUAAUGACGGUACCGUAAGAAUAAGCAUCGGCUAACUACGUGCCAGCAGCCGCGGUAAUACGUAGGGUGCGAGCGUUAAUCGGAAUUACUGGGCGUAAAGCGUGCGCAGGCGGUGCUGUAAGACAGGCGUGAAAUCCCCGGGCUCAACCUGGGAAUUGCGCUUGUGACUGCAAGGCUGGAGUGCGGCAGAGGGGGAUGGAAUUCCGCGUGUAGCAGUGAAAUGCGUAGAUAUGCGGAGGAACACCGAUGGCGAAGGCAAUCCCCUGGGCCUGCACUGACGCUCAUGCACGAAAGCAUGGGGAGCAAACAGGAUUAGAAACCCGUGUAGUCC
rnacentral:rRNA from 1 species